GAUGAACGCUGGCGGCGUGCCUAAUACAUGCAAGUCGAGCGAACAGAUGAGGAGCUUGCUCCUCUGACGUUAGCGGCGGACGGGUGAGUAACACGUGGAUAACCUACCUAUAAGACUGGGAUAACUUCGGGAAACCGGAGCUAAUACCGGAUAAUAUAUUGAACCGCAUGGUUCAAUAGUGAAAGACGGUUUUGCUGUCACUUAUAGAUGGAUCCGCGCCGCAUUAGAUAGUUGGUAAGGUAACGGCUUACCAAGGCAACGAUGCGUAGCCGACUUGAGAGGGUGAUCGGCCACACUGGAACUGAGACACGGUCCAGACUCCUACGGGAGGCAGCAGUAGGGAAUCUUCCGCAAUGGGCGAAAGCCUGACGGAGCAACGCCGCGUGAGUGAUGAGGGUCUUCGGAUCGUAAAACUCUGUUAUUAGGGAAGAACAAAUGUGUAAGUAACUAUGCACGUCUUGACGGUACCUAAUCAGAAAGCCACGGUUAACUACGUG
rnacentral:rRNA from 1 species